rnacentral:rRNA from 1 species
UGGGUGAGAGCCUGAUCCAGCCAUCCCGCGUGAAGGACGACUGCCCUAUGGGUUGUAAACUUCUUUUAUACUGGGAUAAACCUACUCUCGUGAGGGUAGCUGAAGGUACAGUAUGAAUAAGCACCGGCUAACUCCGUGCCAGCAGCCGCGGUAAUACGGAGGGUGCAAGCGUUAUCCGGAUUUAUUGGGUUUAAAGGGUCCGUAGGCGGACUCGUAAGUCAGUGGUGAAAUCUCAUAGCUUAACUAUGAAACUGCCAUUGAUACUGCGGGUCUUGAGUAAAGUAGAAGUGGCUGGAAUAAGUAGUGUAGCGGUGAAAUGCAUAGAUAUUACUUAGAACACCAAUUGCGAAGGCAGGUCACUAUGUUUUAACUGACGCUGAUGGACGAAAGCGUGGGGAGCGAACAGGAUUAGAUACCCUGGUAGUCCACGCCGUAAACGAUGCUAACUCGUUUUUGGGUUUUCGGAUUCAGAGACUAAGCGAAAGUGAUAAGUUAGCCACCUGGGGAGUACGUUCGCAAGAAUGAAACUCAAAGGAAUUGACGGGGGCCCGCACAAGCGGUGGAUUAUGUGGUUUAAUUCGAUGAUACGCGAGGAACCUUACCAAGGCUUAAAUGGGAAUUGACAGGUUUAGAAAUAGACUUUCCUUCGGGCAAUUUUCAAGGUGCUGCAUGGUUGUCGUCAGCUCGUGCCGUGAGGUGUUAGGUUAAGUCCUGCAACGAGCGCAACCCCUGUCACUAGUUGCCAUCAUUCAGUUGGGGACUCUAGUGAGACUGCCUACGCAAGUAGAGAGGAAGGUGGGGAUGACGUCAAAUCAUCACGGCCCUUACGCCUUGGGCCACACACGUAAUACAAUGGCCGGUACAGAGGGCAGCUACUAUGCGAAUAGAUGCGAAUCUCGAAAGCCGGUCUCAGUUCGGAUUGGAGUCUGCAACUCGACUCUAUGAAGCUGGAAUCGCUAGUAAUCGCGCAUCAGCCAUGGCGCGG